GCCUCUUUCUUCUUUUUUUCAAUUUUCACGCUUCUGGUAGCAAGAAGAACAGAACAACAACGUAAAUCCCUCUUUUGGCUUCUCUUCACUCGUGGUUGAACAACAACAACAAAGCCCUCUCUUUCUCGGUUUUUUUCCGAUGAACAACAAGGAGGCUAUCUCCCUCGAUACUCAUCUUUCUCUUGCUGUGAAUCGCAACAACAAGAACCUCUCCCUUGAUUUCUCCCGGCGGCCAUGGGAGGAGCUUUAGAAGCUCACCAGCAAGAACUUUUGUGCACCGAUUUCAGAAGUGUAAAACAAGAAUAUACACAACAAUAAAGAACAGCAAAAAUUGAGUGUGAAAGUAGAAGCGACUUACUUGCGGCAAGGAGGUCUUUGCCGGAUUUUGUUAAGUGGCCAUGAAAUCUUAUCUCGACGAGAAGAACUUACCGUAUAACCCGGUUUCUUUCACAAACAGAGGGAAAUAUGUUAAUGGUAACAACAAUAUUGAGAGUAAGAGUGAAAUUAGCUUACCUACGGCGAGGAGGUUUUCGCCGGACUAUCGUUGAGGUACGCCUUGAAUUCUUUAUUGUUACUAACAAUUUCCCUAACAACUUUGCUUGUUGUUGUAGGCUUUUGAUGAAGGUGAUGCCAUAACACCUCU